rnacentral:misc_RNA from 1 species
CUCCACAGCCGCCACCAAGAUCACCAUCGCCGAGAUGUGCGGGGUCAAGAGAAAUUUCGAUGAACGAGUCUUCAUCGUCAUCGUCUGUCUGAUCGUUAUCGGAUAAGAUAGUGAGAGAGGAAGAGGAGUUGAAAUCGUAGCAGCUGCGCAGCUGCUAAAUGAGAAACUGUCUUCCAGCUUUGGAUCUCGAGAUUCAAAGGUUUUGCUUUCCAUGAUCAUAAAGAUCAGAGUUGGUGUUGGUUUGGAGAUAGGAAUUGCAUGUAUAGUUAAGCUAAAGCAU